GGCUUGCCUGAAAAUGUUGCGUGACACCUGAGCUCAGCAGUGCCACACAAGGCACCACCUUAGCUGACCCACCCUAUGCCAUCCUCAUUUCCCAGUCAGUGCCUGAGCGUGGCAAGUUCUGCCCUAAAAAACAAGCAGUGCUUUUCCAGGACCUACUUACAAGCAAGCAAGAUUCCCUAAUUUCCAAGGAAGAAAAGCUGAUUAUCUUCGGAGGCAGCCUCAUACAGAAGUGCAGACCCCCACCAGCCUUCCGCUCCAGACUGGAUCAAUGCAGAGAAGUGCUCUUUGAUGGACUUUCAGGCCCUGUGAUCUCCCAGCCCUGGGGGUUUAAAGGAUGAGCAUAUCAAUCCAGGACCACUGAACUGCAUUUCCAUUGCAUGAGGGCUCCUCCUCCUGGCUUUGUCCGGACAAACUCGGCUCCUCCUACUUUUGUCACUAUUCUUUCAUGCUUUGUUUAGCAAACACAAAAAAAGCUUUGUUUGUUGCUGGGUCUUUUUUAAGCUUUGCAUAAAACAGUUUAAAGUGCCGUAAUGCUGUGUACCUGUGAUCACCUUCAGGGUCAAAAUCAGUUUACAACAGAUUAACCUAUUUAUCUUUUUUUUUUUUUUUUUUUUUUUCCUUGUUAUUUCCCUUCUGAGUUUUAAUUUGCACAAAUGCAGAUCGGUGUUCUGAUGAGUACAGCCUUCCUACUUUAUUCUGAGUUGUGAUUUUGCAAGAAUCCCUAACUGUUGUUUUCCCUGGGAACAAUCUCCUAGAAGACAGCACAUGUGUGCCUGCCUUUCUUUAUUGCUGUUGUCCUGCUGUGUUUCAGCAUACUGAGCUAGAAGAAAACAGUCCACAUGUAAUUUGUAGAAGUUUUGGUAACACUGGUGCAGUUAUUUUACUUUCCCUAAUAGCUGGUGUUAAAAAUGUGUGUGCUUAGAUUUAUAUUUAGAUUUCAGCUGUAAAGCUUAUUCCAGUUAAAAUGUAAUAGACCCUCUGCUCAUUUCUGGUAUCAUCUACCUGUAAAACACAUAAACAUAAAACCCCUGCUGUGUGAUAUAGCCCCUUCUGCCCACUGUGUUGGAGUAGUUUGAAUCUAAGUCCUGAAGUGAGAAAUGCUCAUUGAGUUUUGUGCAUCUUUAACAGUGAAGAUGAAUGAAAUAAAUCACCCGGUGGUGUAAUGGAUUCUUCAUUACUUAUCUUCUUGAAAGCCA